rnacentral:lncRNA from 1 species
AUGCCUGCAAGAAAUAUUCCCCAAGUUUCUGAACAACCAGUAACCCAACACCUGGGGAAGCUCUAUAUCGCCCACGUGCAUCCGGCUAGCUUUUUGUCGUUUUCUGUUACAGCUCAAACUAGCCACUGCAGGCAGUACAAACUUUUGCAAUCUGACAGAAGCGGGUGGAAGCAAGUUGAGAGAAAAGACAUUCCCCUGGAAAGCAGCUGGAGGACAGUCUUUCAGUCUUUGACCCCUGCCUGCACCAGGUAAAGGACAGAGGACCGCACUGCUCGCUUUACCUUAAACAAAUCCCCCCAGGAGGUCCGUUCGUGGUUGAACUGAUUUUCCAGGUAAGACCUUUUUUUCAACCCUCAAUUUUGGCAGCUGAGCACUUCAUAACCAGGAAGUUAAAUACGACUGAGGACAAAACACAUCAGAAAAUGGCUAGGUUGUGUAACGGCAGAGAGAGAAACGUUCAGCUACAGAUGCCUCCUUUUACGUCAGUGUACCAGAUACGCUGCUUUAUUUACUUGGUUAUCAGCCUCAAACAGCUCGGGCAUUGGUGCCAUCUGACAUAUUUCAGUUACAGCUAUUGAAAGGGACUUGUAAACAACUACAUGAAACACAGAAAGACAAAAAAAAAAACCACAAAGGUUUCAUACAAUACAGAGGUUUCACCUACUUUGGCAAAGUGAAGGAAAGGAAGAAAAAGGGAGGGGGAAGGGAUGCUCGUUGCUGGUGAAGCUAGCUUUCUGUUCCCACUGCAAGAGCUAAGUUUCUGCGAAGUCCAUCUCCAAAAAUUAAUAGAGUUGUAGUUGCGAUGCUUUGGGGAAAAGCUUGGGAACAAGGUGGAAGCUGAAGAAAGAGAAGGCCCAGAAUAAUGAUCAGAUACUCUUUACCUGAUGUUUGAUAAUUCCGGCCUGCUCUUUAAAUCUCUUAGAUGUGGUGGUGGCAUGAUGCAAUAGUUACAGGUCUUUGACCAUUUGCAUCCUAAAUGUGGGUAGCCACCCUGGGAACACCCUCUGCUCCUGCCAGGACAUUACGAGAAAUGGAGAGCUUGUAUUUUCAUUGCUUUCUUUAUAUACUGAAACUAUAUAAAAUUUCCAUACAACUCGGUGGACACUAUUUUUCAUCAUAUUAAGAACUGAAUCCUGUUGGAACAGUCAGAGUUUUUUCUUAUGGUUUUAUCUUAAGAACCACACACAGGUACUUUGAGAACAUUUUGGGACGUUUCAGGUCAAUGAUCUGAACAACAGUGCUCUGUGCUCAG